rnacentral:lncRNA from 1 species
UGCUACUUUAGUUUCUUUUAAACACUCUUUCAUUUCGACUUGUUCAUGCACUAAUAAUUUUUCUUAUAAAACGUUAAGUUCAUUCUUUAAGUACAUUUGACAUUUUUUUCUUUCAUUAUUGCUUUGAUACAAUAGCCUAUUUGGUUUAUAUUAUUGUUUUAAUAUAAUAGCCUAUUCAGCUUACAUUAUUUAAGUUACUUUUCACUUUAAGUUCGAUUUAAUAAUCUUAUUAGCUUCAG